UGGGGAAUCUUGCGCAAUUGGCGAAAGCCUGACGCAGCGACGCCGUGUGCGGGAAGAAGGCCUUCGGGUGGUAAACCGCUUUCAGGAGGGACGAAGCCACUCAGGCUAAUAGCCGAGAGGGUGACGGUACCUCCAGAAGAAGCCCCGGCUAACUACGUGCCAGCAGCCGCGGUAAUACGUAGGGGGCUAGCGUUGUCCGGAGUUAUUGGGCGUAAAGAGCGUGUAGGCGGCCGAGUAAGUCCGGUGUGAAAACUCGAGGCUUAACCUCGAGAUUGCAUCGGAAACUGUUCGGCUAGAGUCCGGAAGAGGAGAGUGGAAUUCCUGGUGUAGCGGUGAAAUGCGCAGAUAUCAGGAGGAACACCUAUGGCGAAGGCGGCUCUCUGGGCCGGUACUGACGCUGAGACGCGAAAGCGUGGGAGCGAACAGG
rnacentral:rRNA from 1 species